rnacentral:sRNA from 1 species
CUGACAGCCCAGGAGACUGAAGUCCUCUAGUUAUUCAUGUAGCAGGUACAAUACAGGCAGUGGCAAUGACAGUUUCUCCACACUGCCUUACCAGUAUGCUUUCAUCAUGAUCUGGAGGAUCACGGUAAAUCUGUACCAGUUCAAACAUUAGUUUGU